GAGGGUACAGCUCAGUGGUAGAGUGCGUGCUUAGCAUGCACAAGGUUCUGGGUUCAAUCCCCAGUACCUCCA
rnacentral:tRNA from 1 species